GCCAUACUCAAACUCUUUCUCAAAGUCUUUUCAUUAGGUUUUGUUACUCUCUUUCUAUCUACCUCAAUCUUUUUCCUCUUUCUCCAACUCACGGGCGAUUUGAAAUCUGCGCCAGCUUCCAUCUUCAUCCAUCUUCAACCUCUCCAUCUUCUAUCUUCAACCUCUGCAUGGCUCGUCCGAUGGGAAAAAUUAAGGACAUCAACGAUUCUGAAUCACGGGUGAGGACUUUUUUCCAGAUCCGACCCUUUUAUGGGAUUAGGGUUUCAGGAGAUCUCGGACGCAAGUUCUUUUCCAAUAUGAAUUUUGUAGAAAGUGGCAGUUUAAGUCGGUGAUGCAGCC